rnacentral:rRNA from 1 species
UUACCGCGAAGAACCUUACCAAGGCUUGACAUACACCGGAAAACCCUGGAGACAGGGUCCCCCUUGUGGUCGGUGUACAGGUGGUGCAUGGCUGUCGUCAGCUCGUGUCGKGAGAUGUUGGGUUAAGUCCCGCAACGAGCGCAACCCUUGUCCCGUGUUGCCAGCAGGCCCUUGUGGUGCUGGGGACUCACGGGAGACCGCCGGGGUCAACUCGGAGGAAGGUGGGGACGACGUCAAGUCAUCAUGCCCCUUAUGUCUUGGGCUGCACACGUGCUACAAUGGCCGGUACAAUGAGCUGCGAUACCGCGAGGUGGAGCGAAUCUCAAAAAKCCGGUYWYMRUUCGGAUUGGGGUCUGCAACUCGACCCCAUGAAGUCGGAGUCGCUAGUAAUCGCAGAUCAGCAUKRSURYKSKRAAKAMRWWYCCGGGUCUUGUACACACCG